GCCUGGGUGGCUUGGUCGGUUAAGCGUCUGACUUUGGCUCAGGUCAUGAUCUCACGGUCCGUGAGUUCGAGCCCCGCGUCGGGCU
rnacentral:tRNA from 1 species